UCUCUGAUAGUAUAUCGGUUAGUACACGCGCCUGUCACGCACGAAGUGUUGCGCGCGAAAGCUGGGUUCGACUCCCAGUCAGAGAG